rnacentral:misc_RNA from 1 species
GAGAAUUUGCCCUUUGGGUAUAUCUCCCGUCCUGAAUACCAUACCAGGUUGCUUUGGUGAACACAUACAUGUGUGUUUGCCAGAGUUGUAAUCAUUCUUGUAUUUAAAUUGUCUGAGAAAAUAUAUAAUAGUUAAAACUUUCAACAACGGAUCUCUUGGUUCU